rnacentral:rRNA from 1 species
GUAGGUGGCAAGCGUUGUCCGGAAUUAUUGGGCGUAAAGCGCGCGCAGGCGGUUUUUUAAGUCUGAUGUGAAAGCCCACGGCUCAACCGUGGAGGGUCAUUGGAAACUGGAGAACUUGAGUGCAGAAGAGGAGAGCGGAAUUCCACGUGUAGCGGUGAAAUGCGUAGAGAUGUGGAGGAACACCAGUGGCGAAGGCGGCUCUCUGGUCUGUAACUGACGCUGAGGCGCGAAAGCGUGGGGGGAGCAAACAGGAUUAGAUACCCUGGUAGUCCACGCCGUAAACGAUGAGUGCUAAGUGUUAGAGGGUUUCCCGCCCUUUAGUGCUGCAGCAAACGCAUUAAGCACUCCGCCUGGGAGUACGGUCGCAAGACUG